rnacentral:rRNA from 1 species
UACGUAGGGGGCAAGCGUUGUCCGGAUUUAUUGGGCGUAAAGAGCGUGUAGGCGGCCAGGUAGGUCUGCUGUGAAAACUCGAGGCUCAACCUCGAGACGUCGGCGGAAACCAUCUGGCUAGAGUCCGGAAGAGGAGAGUGGAAUUCCCGGUGUAGCGGUGAAAUGCGCAGAUAUCAGGAAGAACACCCGUGGCGAAGGCGGCUCUCUGGGACGGUACUGACGCUGAGACGCGAAAGCGUGGGGAGCGAACAGG